AUGAAUAAAAACAGUCACACGAAAUGAAUACGUGUUUGCAUAAAUAUUAAAUAAUCAGGGCAUAUUUUAAUCAAAUUAUUCAAUUAGCAAUUGAUGAUUUAUCUAGAUAUAUUAUCUGUUAUAUCGUAUCAUCAAUCAUAAGCAUAAUUUAUUUUACCUAUCUUGAUUUUUUUUUUUUUGGUAUCAUCAUAAUUCAUAAGUGUGCAUUUGUGUUGUAAAUAAUCGCAAGUUAAUUCACGUACUAAACAAGAAAAUUAAUUAUUAAAAAUGCAAAUAUUAUCAAAAUUUAAUUUAAACAAUCAAAGAGUAGUCAAUGUGAUGAUGUUUUCUAUUUUAUCGUUAUGGGAGUGGAUUAACAUAAGGUUUACAUCAAAAUUUCCGAGAAAAAAAAUUGAUAAAUAUUUCCUUGAAAAUAUAUUUUGAAUUGGAACAAUUUGAUGCUUAAAAAUUCAGAACGAGUUGGACGAAUUAGACUAAUAUAUUUUGGAAUUAGUAAUCAAAACAAACACAAUCAUCAUGAAAAAAUCAAGAUCACAUAAAUGGUGAUUUAAUCUUCAAGAAAACAUGAUGACUGAUGAAACAAAAUGACAUCAAAGAGUUGUUAAUUUAUUCUCAAUUUGGCAUAUUUAAAGAUUCACCAGUUGAAUAUUAAUUAAAAAAAAAAAAACAAUGUAAAAAUGUCAAAGAACUAUUGGUUGAUUUCUAAUUUUCAAACAAAAAUUUAACAAAACAAUUAUUGAUGAUGGAAAAUAUAAAAAAAACAAAAGAACUUCAAGGAUUAAUUUAUAAAGAUUUUUGAUGAUGCAGCAGUAAUUUUAUGAGCUAACAAUUAUGUCGAAGAAAAUAACAAUGUAUUAUGCUGCAGUGUUAGUUUGACCUGCAUCUGGUGGAUUAUGUAAUGUUUAGAAUAAACGAUUCUAGGUGAGUUGAGGUGAGAUAUGAGAAGAAGAGAAAGCUGAGAUUUUUUAAUAUAGAUAUAGGUAUAUUAUUUUUAAAUAACCGAGAAUGCAUUUUGGGUCUAUGGCCUUGCCAGCUUGCCUACUGUCUCCAUAUUAUGAAAAAUACAUCAACAUAUUAAAAUUCAAAAAAAAAAAAACAUAAUAAUAACAAGGCAAUUGUAUGAAAUUUACUACUGCCUUGAUAUUUUUUGGGACACACGUGCUUUUGGGUCAUUGUCCAUCAACCCCCCUAACAUUCUUCUCAUGUAACUACCAAAAUAUCCAAUUUCAUUUGCAAUCUUGUUUUUAAUUUCAUAACUACGCUUUUAGAAAAUAUCUUAAAAUAAUUUUUUUUUUUAUCUUGAAUUUAUCAAUUAAAUCUUUGCAUUUUUUUCACUAUUGUUAGAAUAAUAAUUUUAUAUAAAUUUAUUUUAUAAAAAUAAGAGAAUAAUAUACUUAUAUAUUUUUUUUUUAAAUUAAUUUUCAAUAAAAUUUUCAAAUCGUGGGUGGAUAAAAAUAUAUUGACACACGAAGAAAGCUUUCAUGCAUUCUUUUUAUAUAUAUAAUAUUUAUUUUUUUUAUAAAUGCAUGUGACCUGCGUGAAAGUGACUGUUGCAAACACGCAUAUAAAAUUUACUUGUGGCUUUUUAAAUGUUUAUUUUACUUGACCUAAAUUAUCUAAAUAAAUAUAUACAAAAUUUCCAAAAUACAUAUCAAGAUUAUUUAAGCUCCAAUAGCUUCAUCAUAAACAAUAAUAAUUAUUUAAUUAUUAUUUAUAAAAAUAAUUGGAUAUUUAAUAUCGUUAUUUUAAUUAUUAUGACUAUCUUCGUUAAUUUAUAUAUUUUAUCAUUAUUAAUUUAUAAUUGAACAAAAAAAAAAAUAUUGUUUACUUCAAGUAUAUAUUAAAAAUAUAUUUGUUUAUUAU